rnacentral:sRNA from 1 species
AGCCUAAACCUCGCUUCUUGCGCGGCACGGCUCCAAAACUCAGGAAGAUACUGAACCCCGCGUUCAGCACUCUUCCUGAGUCAUAGCUCGAAAGGGCUAUGGGCCGCAAGGCC